UUGAAGACAUUCUGUUUCUCAUUUUAAAUGUAACGGCGUUCGUUAACCAAUCUUUCCAUUGAAGCUGUAUUGUAGUGUUAUGGUAAUUUAAGCAUAAGAAGGAUAUUGCUACGAAGCAAUUCAAGAUUUUCAUCGACAUGUGAAUAUCGUCGGGUGUAUGAACUUUAAUUUCGACGCCAUUUAGAGGCCGCCAUAGUUGAAAGACUUCCGUUUCACUAAGGAUGGUGAAUAUGGACAUACAAACUGAGUUUCGAUUCUUUGCACGCGACCCUUACGUUCAGGGGAUGUUUAAGUGACCCGCCGUCCCGGAUUAAACGAUGCCUGGGAACACGACAGUAGGCAGCACCCUCUUGGACGAGGAACUUCGUCGUAUCCUGAUGGAAAGGGAG